rnacentral:lncRNA from 10 species
CUAGAAUUCACAGGGAAGGAACUGGCUGAUAUUAUUAUUAUUUUUUUUUGAUGCAGCAUUUCAGAAAACAUAAUCAAUGGCAUGCGUCCAGUUCUCAUUUAGUAACCAAAGAACUAGCUGCAGCUGUUUUUUAUGCCUGGUGGUGCCAGUUUGAUAGUGUAUAAUCAUAUUUGCAUAAAGAUAAAAAGGAAGGUGUUAUAGAACACAGUUAAGCCUAUGGUUUCACCAUGAAUUAAAGGUAAUUUCAGACUAAUUAGGUAUAAUUUGUUAAGGAAUUCUUCCCAGCAAUGAUGACUCUGAUUUUGUAAUUACAGGACAAUGCUUACUGUGGCUUUCAAGGCAGGAGAAAGCACACCCGAGGGGGUCGUGUCCCACACUAGGCAGAUCUAAUGGUGCCACAAAAGACAGGUGUUUUGUCAGAUUUCAGCCACACACUUUCACACCUGCAACGCAUUAACUACCGCAGCAAUGUUAAUGAAGACCAGGUGCCUGUUCUCCAGCAUAAAUGAGGAACUGGCAGGAGAUUUGCUGUUUGCUACCUGACGUCUACUCCUGAGUCUCCGAACCCCGUCCUUCUGGUUGAAGAGGAAGGAGUAGUGAUGUACAAAAAGUGAUUCCUGUUGGACAUUCAACACAAUACUUGAAUGUACUUUGAACACGUCAUGUUCUGUGAAGGUAAAAAUGUGACAGACAGGGAGCCACACUUCGGAGGGCAUCGACUGCUUCUCCCCAUCAGCCAGCUGCGAAGAGGAGUCGCUCUGGGAACAGCGCCGCCCUCCCCUCGUUUGCUUUUCUUCCUCUAUUAUUCCUGACAUGUUCACUGAACUACAGACUGCAUAUGUUUAAAAAUAAUUAAACGCGCUCCAAACAAAUAGGCAAUGUUUCCACGAUCCCUGCAAUGAACGUUCUGCGUGUUUUGACAGAUUUUUCUGUUCGUUGGAUUCAUCAAGCAGCCUGGCUCUUUGCUGUCAUUCCCGACAACCUUGCAGAUAAACCCCCGGGGCAAACUCUUUGGCCUGAGCUCCUUUCUGGGCUCUGAUCUUGGGCACAGAGAACUUCCAGCCUGAGAGUCCCCAGACCUUCAGGAGAAUCCAUGUCUGGGCUCCCAGGGCAGAGUGGUUCACAAACGGAACCAUUAGACAAAAGGCAGAAGAGCUAAAUAAAUGUGGGGCUCUGUUUUUGAAUGGCGCUGCUAUAUUGCACUGAGAAAAGAGACUAGAAGGACAUGCUAUGAGAAGCUGAAAGACACUACUGUGGGGCAUUAGGACCAUCCCCACCCCACCCCCUGGGGCAAAUCCUGAUCUUCUACAUCCCUGC